UACAGAGGUCUCAAGCGUUGUUCGGAUUCAUUGGGCGUAAAGGGCGCGUAGGCGGGAUGGCAAGUCGGUCGUGAAAUCCUUCGGCUCAACCGAAGAACGUCGAUCGAUACUGCUGUUCUUGAGGGUUGCAGAGGAGACUGGAAUUCCCGGUGUAGCGGUGAAAUGCGUAGAUAUCAGGAGGAACACCGGUGGCGAAGGCGGAUCUCUGGGCCUGUCCUGACGCUCAGGCGCGAAAGCUAGGGGAGCGAACAGG
rnacentral:rRNA from 1 species